rnacentral:lncRNA from 1 species
CACGUCUGUUGGGCUGAACACAGAAAAUAGCAUUCAACUACUCUGCUUAAGCAAGGAUGUUCAAUUAAUAGUUUUAGCACUGCCCCAUCCCCGUUUUAUGGCCGAAGGCACUGUGGCUUUGGAGAUAAAGGAUCUUGAGUGAGGAAGUGAAGUCACUGCAUCCUGGAAACAGCUGUGAUGUAUUCAACCCCAAAGUCAAGGUGCUCGUCUUGGUCUUGAACCAUCUGGGGCCUCCCUGACACUUAGGGUGCAGUGGUCGAGAAGAAGCAAAUCAAGUUGAAGUCCUUGCUAGCUACUCACAAGCAUACAAAGUUGCCAGCAGGAGACUGGAGCCUGCUGGCUCUGGGACCAAGCAGAUUUUCAUGACAACAAAACAAAUCUCCACAACGGAUGAGUUACUCCUGUGACUCUGUUGACUUUCUGGUAGAUGGAAUCCUUUCUUCAGGCCUUCAGUGCCCUACCUGAAUACAGUUGAGAAUUGGUGUAAAGAUGGCCCUCGGCAUGACAGGAUCCUGGGUGGCACUUCCUACUAGCCUUUGGUGUUUACAUAGGGUGUAAUUGGGCUGUCAUACUGCCCAGCCAUGCAGGGCACCAUUCACAACCCACUUGAACAAACAUGGCAGCUCUGGAAGGAAUGGUGAUUAAAAACCACAGCUGACCAGUCCUGUGAGCUUUGGCAAAG